rnacentral:lncRNA from 1 species
AAGCCUUGAAAAACUUGGCAAUCCAUGCUCAUACUUCUUAAAUUUUAAAGUAUUUAUUUCACUUCAUUCCAACAUUUUCUUCCCAAGCUAAAUACAAGCCAAUCAACAAAAAAACAAAUAAGUGAAAUGAUAAAUUUCAGGCAGAUCAUGGCAAUUAUCAAAACCAACAUCAGAGUGGGAUGCAACACUCUAAUCACAUCGGUCAUUCCUUCACCAAAUUCUGAACAUUGGUUUGAAGGAAAUUCAUGAGAAGUUUUCGGCUUCACAUCCUCUUGUAAGAGCUCUAAUUCUUGCCGAUUAUCCUUGUCAAGAACUUGCUUUGUACCAUCAAGUUCUUCCAUUACUAAACCAUAUGGCUCUUGUCGAAGAACUUAUUCUUCUUCAACAUCCACAUUUACCCUUUUAGUUAUAACUGUGCUCUCUAACAAUUUGUACAAGUUUCGUUCUCGGACACUCUUCAUCAUCACUAGAGCUCCUUUUGAAACUUUGAGCAUUCCAUAUUGCUCGGUAAAUUUGUAGCUUUCCAUAUCAAGAGUAACAAGCGAAAUCAAUUUUUUUUCAAGUAUGGCACAUGACUCACAUUUUCAAAUGUACGAACCAUACUAUCAUAUAUUUUUAUGUGAAUAUUUCAAAUACUCAAAAUUUUACAAGCUCUAUCAUUACCAAGAUAGACAAAGCC